AUAGUGGUGGUUCAGUGGUUAGACCUUAGGGCUCGCAACCGGGAGGUCCGGGUUCGAAUCUCCCAAAAGG
rnacentral:tRNA from 1 species